rnacentral:lncRNA from 1 species
GCCUAUUAUUCCCUUCCCUACAGCAAAGAAACAAUUGGCAGCAUUAGUAUUCCGAUGAACAGAGGCAGCUACAAAGGGUGUGACUGCAGGCCCUCCUUAACUCCUCUUGGAUGCUGCCAGUGGAUGUGAAGGGGACUGACUCCAAUUGCUCGACUUCAAAAUAGCCCUAACGUGGUCUGGCAAGAGACAGAGGCGCAAUUCACAAGGAGCACAUAAUGUCUGCAGAUUGCCCACUUUCUCAGGAUUAGCGGGGAUCUCCCUUCCUUCUCCAGACAGGAUGAUACCUGGAAUUGGGAACUUCACCCAGGACACCCUGUGGUGCUUCAGUCAACUGAAAGGCACCUUCGACAUUGGAAUCACUGAAGGUAGGCUUCUUCUUCCCCCUCUCCCUCCCCUUUUCCUCCCUCCCCUCUUUAUUCCAACCCUUGUCCCCCAGGAGUCUAUGCCUGGUCUGCCAGUGGAAAGCAUUUAUUUCUGCAUUGAGAGGGGAUCAGCGAAGAAGCUCCCACACACUCCUGAGUUUGCUCCAAACUAGAAAUGAAUCUGAGAAUUUCUUUCCUCUUCUUUUUCAUCUGGAGCUCAUUUGGCUUCCUCAGUGGGGCAUCCUGCCCUUCCCUGAGUGAGGUUGGACUUCUGGAUCGUUCUUUUGUCCAGGCUAGUGUCUCUGCUCUGCAGAAUUUAGAGGGCAAGCAUUCAAGGACUGUCGGAAGUUAUUUUUUGGUGAUUUUGUUGUAAUUAUGAGUGUCUUUGCUAUGAAGCUACCCAGAAUCAAGUUAGAAUUCUAGUUAUGAGGCUUCUGUGGGUGGCAUAAGAGAUUCCAGGUAUCAGUGUUAGCUCUUUUACUAGUCUUCAGGAUUCCCAGCAGGGGCUCUCUUUCUAAGCCCCCUUUACCUGGGCUAAUGUCCUCCUCUGGAGAGCUGGCCUUAAUUCUUCUCAUUUUCUUCCCUCAUAAGCCUGAGCUUAGAGAUCUCCUCGAUUCUCCCCAAGGUCUGCAUUUAAUGCCAAAUGAUAAGCAGUUGGAGGGAACUUGAAUAGCACCACUGGGGGUUGCAAAUCAAGAUUUAGAUGCUCUGGCAGAGUGCUAUAGAUUGCUUGAAAGUGGUAUUAUUGCAAGUGUGGUUGCCUUAGAAGCUGGGGGGACAGGGUGAGAAAUUGCAUAGGAUGAAAACUAAUUUUGAUGUCAUAUGAGGGAGGCAGUCAACAGGCACGCUUUUUGCCUCAGAGACCAAAUGCUGAAAUUCGUGUGGACUUGGGGCCUGGCCUUGAAGAGGUCUUUGUUUCCCAAUGAUAAUGUGUAUAUUAUUCUGAUACAUACUACAGCUCAUUCACGGCCCUAUUCAAUCACUCCUAAUGUUUUCUUUGCUUCUGAGAGCAGUGUGGUAUAGUAGAUAAAGCUGUGGACCUGGAAUCCAGAUGUGAAUCCUAUCACUGUCUAGCUAUGGAGCCAUCAGCAAGCCCCUUAACCUUGUUGUUCAGCCAUUUCAGUUGUGUCUGACUCUGUGGGACCCCCUUUGGGGUUUGGGGGGCAAAGAUAAAUGGAAUGGUCUGCCAUUUCCUUCUCCAGCUCAUUUUAUAGAUAAGGAAACUGAGGUAAACAGGGUUAAAUGAUUUGUUCAGGGUCUAGUAAAGGACUGAAGGCAGAUUUUUAACUCAGGAAGAUGAGGCUUCCUGACUCUAGGCCUGAUGCUUUAUCCACUCUGCCACCAAACUGCCACUUAGCCUUACUGAGCCAGGUUUCUCUGAUAUAAAACCGCUGAAUCUCAGGGUUGGAGCAAACCUCAGAGGCAAAAGGUCAAUCCAUAUCUGCAUGAAUCUCCUGUACAAUAUUGCCUUAUAACCGUACAUCCAGCCUUGCUUGGCAACAUCUGGAGAGGGGGAUGCUUCUACCUCCAGAAAUAGGGCAUUCUGUUCAGGGUAGCUCUGAUCAUUAGAAAGAUUUUCAUGACAUCAAGCCCAAAUUUGCCUCUUUGCAACUUCUACUCAUUGCUCCUAGCAAACAACAUUAGCCCUUUAAAUGCUUGAAGACAAAUUUCAUUUCUGCUCUAAGCCUUUUCUGUACUCUAAGGGUUCUUAAUUUUUUGCAUGUAUAUUAUGGUCUUUGCCAGGCUGGUGAAGCCUGCGAAGCCCUUUUCAGAAAAAUGCUUUUAAAUGCACAAAAUAAGAUACAUAGAAUUACAAGGGAAACCAAUUGUUUUGAGAUACAUUCAGAACACGUUCUUGGACCCAAGGGUAAGAACCCCUGCUUUAUUUAAUAAAUAAACAUACCCACUAUGUAGUAGACA